rnacentral:rRNA from 1 species
AUGAACGCUAGCUACAGGCUUAACACAUGCAAGUCGAGGGGCAGCAUGGUCUUAGCUUGCUAAGACUGAUGGCGACCGGCGCACGGGUGAGUAACACGUAUCCAACCUGCCGUCUACUCUUGGACAGCCUUCUGAAAGGAAGAUUAAUACAAGAUGGCAUCAUGAGUCCGCAUGUUCACAUGAUUAAAGGUAUUCCGGUAGACGAUGGGGAUGCGUUCCAUUAGAUAGUAGGCGGGGUAACGGCCCACCUAGUCUUCGAUGGAUAGGGGUUCUGAGAGGAAGGUCCCCCACAUUGGAACUGAGACACGGUCCAAACUCCUACGGGAGGCAGCAGUGAGGAAUAUUGGUCAAUGGGCGAGAGCCUGAACCAGCCAAGUAGCGUGAAGGAUGACUGCCCUAUGGGUUGUAAACUUCUUUUAUAAAGGAAUAAAGUCGGGUAUGGAUACCCGUUUGCAUGUACUUUAUGAAUAAGGAUCGGCUAACUCCGUGCCAGCAGCCGCGGUAAUACGGAGGAUCCGAGCGUUAUCCGGAUUUAUUGGGUUUAAAGGGAGCGUAGAUGGAUGUUUAAGUCAGUUGUGAAAGUUUGCGGCUCAACCGUAAAAUUGCAGUUGAUACUGGAUAUCUUGAGUGCAGUUGAGGCAGGCGGAAUUCGUGGUGUAGCGGUGAAAUGCUUAGAUAUCACGAAGAACUCCGAUUGCGAAGGCAGCCUGCUAAGCUGCAACUGACAUUGAGGCUCGAAAGUGUGGGUAUCAAACAGGAUUAGAUACCCUGGUAGUCCACACGGUAAACGAUGAAUACUCGCUGUUUGCGAUAUACUGCAAGCGGCCAAGCGAAAGCGUUAAGUAUUCCACCUGGGGAGUACGCCGGCAGCGGUGAAACUCAAAGGAAUUGACGGGGGCCCGCACAAGCGGAGGAACAUGUGGUUUAAUUCGAUGAUACGCGAGGAACCUUACCCGGGCUUAAAUUGCAGAUGAAUUACGGUGAAAGCCGUAAGCCGCAAGGCAUCUGUGAAGGUGCUGCAUGGUUGUCGUCAGCUCGUGCCGUGAGGUGUCGGCUUAAGUGCCAUAACGAGCGCAACCCUUGUUGUCAGUUACUAACAGGUUCCGCUGAGGACUCUGACAAGACUGCCAUCGUAAGAUGUGAGGAAGGUGGGGAUGACGUCAAAUCAGCACGGCCCUUACGUCCGGGGCUACACACGUGUUACAAUGGGGGGUACAGAGGGCCGCUACCACGCGAGUGGAUGCCAAUCCCCAAAACCUCUCUCAGUUCGGACUGGAGUCUGCAACCCGACUCCACGAAGCUGGAUUCGCUAGUAAUCGCGCAUCAGCCACGGCGCGGUGAAUACGUUCCCGGGCCUUGUACACACCGCCCGUCAAGCCAUGGGAGCCGGGGGUACCUGAAGUGCGUAACCGCGAGGAGCGCCCUAGGGUAAGACUGGUGACUGGGGCU